rnacentral:rRNA from 1 species
UACGAAGGGGGCUAGCGUUGCUCGGAAUCACUGGGCGUAAAGCGCGCGUAGGCGGAUUGCUAAGUCAGGGGUGAAAUCCUGGAGCUCAACUCCAGAACUGCCUUUGAUACUGGCGACCUUGAGUCCGGGAGAGGUGAGUGGAACUGCGAGUGUAGAGGUGAAAUUCGUAGAUAUUCGCAAGAACACCAGUGGCGAAGGCGGCUCACUGGCCCGGUACUGACGCUGAGGUGCGAAAGCGUGGGGAGCAAACAGG